rnacentral:sRNA from 1 species
CCCUAGCCCCGAUAGUAGUGGAAAUCCUUUUGUGCGGGGGUUCCGCACAAAAGAUUGAAACGGAUUGCUUCGCCAAUU